rnacentral:lncRNA from 1 species
GCCGCAAGGUCGUCAAGUGCUCCGGAACACCACGCUGUGAACUGCAAAUCGCCAUGUCGACUGGAGAAAGAUCCCUUUUCCCCGGCGCGCCCGUCCUUUGCCGCAGAACCCGUAAGCAAUACAAGCGACGCCGAAGCGCACUGAAUUGUUUGACACUGUCCUUUACUAGCUAGAGGGAGACUGAAUUCCUUGAGAUUCUGUAGAACCUCUAGAACGCGAGCCCGAUGUACCAAGACCGUACUUUGGCCACUAGCGUCUUUGGUGAGCCUUUCAGAAGUCGUCGGCGUCAGCCCCCCCCCACCCGGAUACGCACUGGAACGUCCCUCUCGAGCACCAGGCGCAGCCGCUUCUCCCAGCCCCGCAGAUUCCGCGUUAGCACUGGGAUCCAUCUUAUCAGACGCGGAAUCAACAACAAAUCCCACUUCGCGGCAAGUUCCCGUGGCGUCGGUAGUAGGCCUUUCUGGCGCUGCGGCACUCGCUGCUCGCAAUCCGUUCCCCGUACACUCGAUCUCGUUACAUAAUUGCGGGUUUAUGCUUGUGCUGAUAUCCCCGCCACUGCCGCUGUCGUCCGCGUCCGGAGAUUCCCGAGUCACCGUCCCUGCUGGGUUGCCCUGGGUGGGUUCUUGUUCUGCCUUGUCCCUCCCAGCACUUGCAGCUGUGGCUGCAGAAACAACGCGUCGCAGGAGGGCUUCCGCGGAUCGCACGGGAAUUUGAGCAGGACACCAGGGGCUGCUUUCUGGUCCUGCGCCAAGAGCCAGCUUGCUUCUCUCAUCAGCCGACGUAGUUGUGGACGCACCUGCCAAGGAAUCGGCACCUGCGUGCGCAGACGGGAACUCGGUUUCUUUCUCGGGGACGCUCAGACCUCCUUCAGCUCUGCCCUUGAGGCCUUCACAUUUCGGUUCCUUGACGACUUCGUCUGAGCACUUGUCAUCGAGGCACGCGUCUCCGACAACCGGGACCAAUGUGGGAGUCUCCAGCCGCGUUCCCUCGCACGCUUCUUCGUCGAACGCGUCAUCCCGAGUUCGACGGAAAUCCAUCGACGCCCGGUUCCUAAGGUUUUGCCCGAAAGGCAAAAAGUCCCCGUCUGGGUUUCCGCUCAGAGGCGCUCUUUCCAACAAAGCCACAGCCCUGUGCAGAUCCUCUGGAGUCGCCAGCACUGUGUCGUCGCCAGCUAGAUCGCUCAGCGAUGACGGAUUCACAGGAGAACGAUGAGCCAGCAGCGUGGCUACCCGCGAGUUCUCUCUGAGACAGUGAAGGACUCCGUUGACGGAUGGUUUUUCUCCCUCCGGCGAAAGAGAAUUAUAGCCGGGCAGAGAGCAGCACGCAGCAGCCGUUUGGUUCAGCAGCUGACUCAGAUCUCCAUCGCCAUUCGCCACCUGCGGCGAAGAAUGAGCACACCUACACGGUGGCUCUGCAACGUCUCGAACGCUGACCCUGCGUGCGCCGAAUGGUGAGCUGCAACUCUUAAGGAUGGAAGAAAGGUCUGCUUUUGACAGUGCAUUCUGUUCUUCACGGGGCCCGUCUGAAGAGUCUGGUCGUCCAUACAUGCAUGCGUGUGCAUGGCAAGGCCGUUUCGACACUUUUGCUUGGCUUUCCUCGAGGCUGCGGCUCUGUGACUCUUUCAUGGACAAGACUCGUCGAAGCACUGCAGUCAACGGCUCGCCGUCGUCUUCGUGGUCUUCCGAAUGCAGCGUCCUCUCUCGCGUUCCGCCGGGCAUCCUCCCGACAGACCUUUUCCCACAGGUAAGUUCCUCCUCCGCACCAAGUUGGUUACUGCGGGACGCCUGCAACGACGACUGUGAGCAGCUUCCCACAGGUUCCUGAUGCAGCGGCGAGGCUCCAAGGCCUGCUGCAGGUGAGGCACCGUGAGACCGCGACGAGGGAGAGACGCCGGAGGCGUGUGGCGCACCUGGCCGGACUCCUCGGGAAGAACGCAUGAGAGCUGGAAGCAGUGGCGAAGCGUGUAAAGACGGGCUGGCCUCGCUACCUGUUUGAGAGUUCAUCGAUGACAGCGGACUCUGUGAGUAGGCAGGCGGCGCAUGUUUUAUCCGCUCGGCAAUGGCCUUCGCCCGGGCGCGUGCCAUGCCGAACUUCAUUACACUCCAGCUGCGGCUCCUCUUCUUCCCGUGCACCUUCCAGCUACACCGCCAAGACAGAUUGCCCCGUCGGGUGUCAAAGUAGACGCCCCGGAAAGGCGGGAACUUUCGCGCUUCGCGCACAAGCUGGACUCUCGUCUCUUCUCCGGGGUCGUUGACGGGGCCGUUGACUUCUUCUGCGUCUUCCUCGUCCUCUUCCUCGGAGUCCCAUCGUUGCCGCUUCGCACCACGGAGAUGCGCAUCCGCAGCGCCACUGUCAUCGCUUUCCCCCACUGCAUCCGCUUCGCCGGAAUCGGAAAAGAAAGAGCCCUCCACAGGCGACGAUCGUUGUCGCCGGCGACUCGCGCUGGAAAUGCUGGUUACCGUUUCCGAAGACUCGAGGCCCACAGCCCUUUUCGGCUUCACCGCCUCCUCGUGUCUGCCGGCACGUGACAUCCACGAAGCUGCGCCGACGCCACUCGCCGAAUGGCAUUCCGCAGCGCGGGAGCUCGACCGAAGAUGCGGCGUUCUCUCGGGGCGCCACCACGGGUGGUCUUCCUCUUGAAGCUGUUGAAGAGCGAGUUGCUGCGCGAACCGACUGCGCAGGAUCGAGCUCAGAUGGUCAGCGUGAGAGGGACUCGUGCCGUUCGGCGCCUUCAACGAGGCUUCGUUAGCGGCCAGCGAAUCCCUCGGGCUCCGACCAUGGUCCAUUCCACCGACACUAACGGGUCGCCGGAGGAUACAAUCCGUUUGAGGGAAACGAUCAGGCCCUCGCCAUCCGCGGACGCUGUCGCCGAGGCCAACCAGGACUGCCUCCGAACCGGCGCUGGCGAGAGCGCGAAGCGAGGACGGAUUACUCGGACGGCGACCGUUUCCGGCAUCUCGGUCACCACUGUCCCCAGCAAACGACGCGUCGUCCCCCUGCCUCUCGUGCAACGAAAGAACAUUCACGGGCAUUUCGCGGCUCGACUCGUUACACCUGCUGCCGACCGACUCAGGGGCUGUUUUUUGGCUGUGCCGCGCAAAGUAUCCGGUGUCGCCGCCAAUGAUCGAAUCGCCGAAAAUUCCGUCAACAGAUUUCUCAGCGGCGGCAGAGAAGCGUUCCUUGUCUUUUGGAUCAUCCGAUUCUCCAGACACGGAUACAACUCUUUGCAGGAGGUCCUCCGGUUCAAAUCCAACACUCGAAAACGAGCGGAAGUCGCGGUUGAGCACAUCACUCUGGUGCCACACCGUGCUUCUUGAGGAAAGACGGGAAAUCGGUGAAAUGUCUUUUAUGCCUGGACCUCCUCGUUUGUCGCUGAGACGGAGUUUCUCUUCAGGACACUUCAACGACGUUGUCAUCUCUCUGACGCUGUCGGAACACUCGUGAUGCUCCGGAAGCAUACUCGAGCCGAGCGGGGCUGCAGCCAAUGGGGACAAGCGAUCUGCCACCGCCUUCAGUAUGUCUGCUGCAUGAACUGUACUGCUUCCCUCCGAGUCCGGAGAGCAAGACACAUGCUCACAUACCGUCUGUUUGGUUGACAUUGAAGCUUCCUGCGCCUCCUCUGAUCCGCCUGAGCCUGCAGCAGUCGGGCGCGGAGGCAUCCUUCUUCCGCUCCUCUUGACUUCGGCCCGCCGCGCGCCCGGGCCGAGUUUGCUGUCAGUUUUCGUCGCACCGUGCUCUCCUUGGAACAGUUCCUUAGUGAAACGCGAACUAACCAGGUCAGAAGGUUCGCGAGUUGAGCUCUUGUGUCCAUGUGCACGUUCCGCUUCGCGGCCGUUCCGUUGCGGGGGUGUAGUAGACGGGGUAGGCGAUGAGACAGUCGUGCACAGAGAGCCGCCGAAUCCGCUCCGGCCAGUGCUUUUCGGUUGAAUAACCCUCAAUCGAGAGUCAUCCGCCAUGGGACGUCAGAAGGAAACCACGUUUUUGUAUUUUUUUCUCCCAGAGGGGUGAUAUCGAUGCCAGCUGGUGCCAACAUAUACUGGUGAUGCCUAGACGGGAAGAGCCUCUGCGGCGGCGCGAACUUUCUGGUGUGCCGCAGCACUGGAUGACCGGGCUGUUCGCUUCAUCUCCAGACGGGAGAAGAACGAACCCUCCCGGGGGUACAAAAGCUGAACGUUCGGGAUUCACCCUGCUGUGAGGGAAAGAAUCCCUUUCUUUUUCCUGUUUUACAGAAGCAAACAAAACAGAUGCAGACGCCAGAAAACGUACCCGACUCAGGGGUUCCAGCCUUGUGAUCGGCCAAACCUCCUCUCCAGAGCCGGGGCCCGCUGCAACUCCGCCGCCAGGGAAGCAAGUUGAACAGGUUCGCCACUCCAAUCGGACGGUGGCGCCGAAAUCGAGGCGGCUGGGGAGUUGAGACAGGUGAGACAGGAGCUUUCAGGUUCCACUUCCACAGGAAGGGAACGUGAAACCAGACCACCGGAAUAACUAUGGAAAGCAGCUGAAGCAUAGCUCUGCCGCGGUAUUCUCUCGAGAAAGGAAGCCUAGAAACCCUCCUGGCAGCGUCGCGGAUGCGGCGCGCAGAGUCUCUCUCCGCACCGCCAGGGUUCUCUGCCUACGGACCACGGUGAAUCCGCACUGCUGGGAGUGGAGAGAGAGGGGGGGGGGGGGUCCGGCGCCCGAUUCGUUUGCGGAACUCGGAGAAGCGCAAGGCCGCAGAUUCGUUACUCAACAGUCCCUGAAUAUCGCACUGACGGCGCCAGCACAAGGCCCAGGAAGACACGUCAACGGCAGCUACUACUUUUGUAUACUGAAUGAAAAUGCAAAUCUCGCUUCGGAAAGAAAUGCAACAUGUGCUGUCUUUGACAAUUACCGUGGAGAACGACGCGCGCGCCGCCCCACUCGGAUCGACCAAUAGACAACGUGCGCGGCGACACGCGGCCUCGGACACGUCUCGCGCACGGACCCCACAGGACGGUGUAGGCGUCUCUGGGCGGAAUUGUCCUCACGCUUCUGAGGAGAAAGCUUUCACCCGUGUGUUUCAAGCAGCCACACACGUAAAUUGGACGGUGAAAAACUAGGAAGGGAUCGCAAGAAAGACGCUUGAUGUCCAAGUGCUGGUCUCUGUGUGCAGCAGGAUAUGUCUCAGUGAACGGCUGGGCCGCCGCUCGACUGCGAAACGGCUACCCCGCAUGCGGUUGAACACAGCGCACCCACCGCUGCUGGUGAGCUAAAAAGUGCGUCCCGCGAAUCCCGCGAGUGGCGCUUAAAACACCAUAAGGCAGGGACUGAGUCUGAAGCCCUCUUGAAACGAAUUCGACGUCCAAGGGAACGAGUGUCAAUCUUUUAAAGACACACAAGCCAGUUACAGGAGAAAAGAGUGAAUGGCCUGAUGCCCAGAAGGCCAAUACCAAAAUUUCCACUCGGGUCCGCGCGGCUUCUACCAAUACGGGCCAUGCACGCACGGAUUCGGUGUGGACACAGCUCCGAGUCCGCGGAGGAGCGCACGAACUCCGUUGAUGUGCAGAGGCGCACUUUCCUCCUUUGCUCUUAGGUUAAGCCAGAAGCAGCCAAAGUAUUGAUUUUGCCUUUGGGUGACAGGUCAACCCUCCCAUAAGAAGGCAGAUUUGCGGAAACCCGAGAUGCAGCAGCCGUAGUCUGCACGAGAGAACGAUGAGCGCUGCACACAGCAAGGGGGUGAGAGAGGCGAUGCCCGAGUUUCGACAGUGCGUCUCGCGUAACAAACCAAAGGAACAGCGGAAUGUUCACAAGAUUUGUCUACAGAUACAUGCAACACACCUUCGAAAUCAACUUUCGCGUGUCACUGAGUGUAAACAUCACCUCGCUCCCGGUUGCAACGACCUCCGCCGAACCACUCGGGUUGUGGAUGGUUACCCCUUAAAAGUGCUUUCGACUGAAAAAACGUCUUUGGGCAAGAUGUUCCUUCACUGUUAAUCCUAGCACCAGCUUCGGAAGCCUGACACCCUCCGUGCUAAGCGUGAAAUUGGUGGUGGACGACACACUCGAAACUGUUCCAUGCGUACCGAUACAAU